GAUGAACGCUGGCGGCGUGCCUAAUACAUGCAAGUCGAGCGAACAGAUGAGAAGCUUGCUUCUCUGAUGUUAGCGGCGGACGGGUGAGUAACACGUGGGUAACCUACCUAUAAGACUGGGAUAACUCCGGGAAACCGGGGCUAAUACCGGAUAAUAUUUUGAACCGCAUGGUUCAAUAGUGAAAGACGGUUUCGGCUGUCACUUAUAGAUGGACCCGCCCCGUAUUAGCUAGUUGGUAAGGUAACGGCUUACCAAGGCGACGAUACGUAGCCGACCUGAGAGGGUGAUCGGCCACACUGGAACUGAGACACGUUCCAGACUCCUACGGGAGGCAGCAGUAGGGAAUCUUCCGCAAUGGGCGAAAGCCUGACGGAGCAACGCCGCGUGAGUGAUGAAGGUCUUCGGAUCGUAAAACUCUGUUGUUAGGGAAGAACAAAUUUGUUAGUAACUGAACAAGUCUUGACGGUACCUAACCAGAAAGCCACGGCUAACUACGUGCCAGCAGCCGCGGUAA
rnacentral:rRNA from 1 species